GCUCACUGGUUUGUGGUGUAUUUUUUCCAGGAAUAAAAAGGUGGUUUGACGAUCAUUUUAAACUUAGACUCUAUUGGUGUCUUUUUUCUCUACCUAAAGCCCUGAAUUUACUAGUUUAUUUUUAGAAAUAAGAUUUUUAUUAAGUAUUUUCUUGUGGAGUAUAUUUUAUUCACAUAGGGGAAUAUCUUCCUAUUGAUGUGAAAGAAAUCCCAGUUCUUUUUUGACUUGGAAAUUAUGACUGAAAUCCCAAUCCUGCAUUGCAGGCGUAUUCUUUACCAGCUAAGCCACAAGGGAAGCCCCCCCAAACACUUUAAAUACACUGCUGCAUGGAUGCUAAGCAGGUUCAGUCAUGUCCAGUUCUUCGCAACCCUAUGAACCGUAGCCCUCCAGGCUCCUCUGUCCACGGGGACUGUCCAGACUAGAAUACUGGAGUGGGUUAGCCCUUUUCCAGGAGAUCUUUCCGACCUAGGGAUCCAACCUGAGUCUCUCAGGGCUCCUGCGUUGGCAAGGAGAUUCUUUACCACUGGAGUCUGCCUAGAAAACUCCCAUAUUUUACUCACAUAAGGGAAUAUCUUCCUAUUGAUGUGAAAGAAAUCACAGUGCUAUUUAUUUAGACUUGGAAUUUAUGACUGAAAUCACAAUCAUUUAUAGACAUUUCCUCAAAAAACUUACAAGCAGGACUACUGUUCUGUUCCGUUACUAAAAUCCCCCAAGAGUAAAUUUUAGGCCCAGCUGUCCAUUUUUUAAGAGGACAAGAGGUUAAAUUAGUCAUAAAGUUGUACAACUUGGUUGUGCCUUUUAAAAUAACGUGAGGUUUGAUCACUUAAAAUUUUUCUCUACAGGAUUAAAGAUGAGGAUCAGUAGUUCAGUAACAUUGGUAAAAGAGCUCUGCCUUAGUCAGACAUGUAGAGAGAAAGAUACUUGCUUCAGUAGGAAAAUACUGCAUUAUUAAAGGUCUCAUAUACUGAGCAACUUUUAGUUGAAUUGGCAACAGAUAUUCCUGUGUGCAUGUUCUUGGGAUAUUAAUUUCGUGCUUUGGCCAGGAAUUCUUUAAAUCUGCAAAUUUCCGUUACCUGGGUUUUUAAGUAGGUUAAGCAGAGGUUAAUAUAUUUUAAAAGGCCGUUACUGUUUACCGCCUAAAUCACUAUUUUGAAAAUUUUGUGGGGGAAAAUUUGUGGGUGAAAAACAUUGUCCAGACAAAUCUUGAUAAGCGAUGAUAAUCUCUUUAUUAUUUGAAUGAAUUAUUCAAAUAAUGAUUGAUUGUAAUGGUGUAUGUUUGUAUACCAUCAUUCAAGUACCUCAGUUCCACUGGUCAUAAUGACUUCGGCAUACUUUUGGUUAGGUGGUACAUGUUUCAGUUCAGUCGCUCAGUUGUGUCCAACUCUUUGCGACCCCAUGAAUUGCAGCACGCCAGGCCUCCCUGUCCAUCACCAACUCCCGGAGUUCACCCAGACUCAGGUCCAUCGAGUCAGUGAUGCCAUCCAGCCAUCUCAUCCUCUGUCGUCCCCUUCUCCUCCUGCCCCCCAAUCCCUCCCAGCAUCAGUCUUUGCCAAACUUCAGCAUUUGCUUAUAAUAUUUAAACUUUUCUUUCCAUGCUUCCCAUGAAGAAGUAUAACCUUAAUAGGUUAGUAAUACUUAAGUAUAAUCUCUGUAGAGUUGGUGUGGAAAAUAGUUUGGUCUAUUUGAAUUUAAAUACAACCAGCAAUAUUGUUACUGAAAUGUCUUUUUAAAUCAUGAAGAUAAGUUUGCUUGUUAGUUGUAAUAUCAUUUUUACUUGAGUUUUCAAAUGUGGGGAAAAUUAUAAAUGAGACCAUUUGUUUCAUUUAUCAAAGUAAUUUUGAAAGACCUUCUGGUGAUGAUUUUAACUUUUUAGUUAAACUGUUAAGGUCAUAGUUUCACCAUUCAUCAGUGUUUCUCAAAAUUUAAUGUGGAUAGGAAUCCCUGGGGAUUUUUAAAAAAUACAGAUUCUGACUCAGUAAUUUGAGAUGGAGCAAGAGACUUCUAACGUGCUUCUCAUUGAUGCCAGUGUCCCUAAAUACACCCAAAUACAUAGCAAGGUCAUAGGUCAUUUUACAUUUGGGUUGGGGGUGUUAGAGAGUAGACCUUAUUAGGAAAAGAUAGCAACAUAAGAUGUUUAUAAUGACUUACAAACUAGUUGGUCUCAGUGGAUCUAGUUGGAGAUUAAAAACGUUUAACAGUCAGCCACAAAUGUUAAUAGUGUUUAGGAUCCCAAGGAAAGGUUAGUAGCUUAGUUUGCAAGAAAAUGAAAUGAGUUUAGGAAAUCAGGCAUUAAUAGUUUUAGGGAAUUGAUGGACGAUAAUAAGGAAAAAGCAAAAAAAGCCUAAGUCUCUGAGGAAGUGUCAUCGCAUGUUUAUUUAGGAAUUAGAUCAGAAAACAGUUACAAGUCAUAAAAGAUAAAAAUAACUUCUGAAAGCUCAGAAAGGAAAGGCUAACAGGUCACAAAGAACACCCCUUUGGUGGUGGUAUUUUUUUUUUAAUUUCUGACUUUUAAAAGUUAGCAUUCAUUAAUCAGAUCAAAGUAAACUUUUGAUGAUAAAAAAUUAAAGCUGAUUAAGGGAGAAAAUCGUUACAGAUGACUUGAAAAAUAAUUUAUUUUUCAAAUGGAUUAAGAUCAACAGAUGGGAAAUUCAAAGAUAGAAAUGACAGGUGUAUCCUUUUUUAGAUAGAGACUUGGAGGUAGUAGUCCUUGAUAACUCAUAACAUACCUUUCUUUGAACUCCAGACCUUUGUUUUAAAAAUGAAAAAAAUAUUAUAGAUGAAGUAUGGAAAAGAAUAUUCUGUUUCUUUUUUGCCAAGCAUGUCUUUAUGGUAGGUUAAUUAUAAGCUACUAACAUGGUAUACCUUGUUACCAGGCAUUGUGCUAAUGAGUCACUUUGUGUAUCAUGUAAUCAACAGCCCUAAAAGGUAGGUGAUAUUGUCCUUACUUUACCUAUGAGGAACUCCGAGACUAAGUAUAUUUUAUGGAUAGCUAGUGGUCACUACCUGUAAAGUGGCAAAGCCAGGAUUUAAACCCUGUUCUGCCUGAAAUCCGAGUGUGCACUAGGUUAGGAAUAGACCUAAUAAUGUCAGGUUAGACUUAAAUGUUUAGUUCUGUGUUUACUUUAAAGGUCUUUAACCUGUGCCUAAAAUGAAACCAACCUAAUUUGAAUUCAAAGUAGCAUUGAUACUUGAACAACACGGGUUAGGGCACCAACCCUCCUUGUAGUGGAAAAUUCACUUAUACAUGGUUCCUCCAUAUAUGCCCAUUCCGUGUUCUCGGAUUCAACCAACCACAGGUCAUAUAGUACUGUCUAGUAUUUACUAUUGAAAAAAAAUUAACGUGUAAGCACACCAGUGCAGUUCCAAUGUGUGUGGGUUCAAUGGUCAACUGUAGUUUUAUUCUAGAUUGAAAUAGAUUACCAGUAUUUUGUGUGUGAGUGAUAUUGGUAGUUCAGUUGCCAUUUGUUUUGUUUUUCUUCAUCAGUUAUACUCAGGCCAAAAUAUACUGAAUUUUGGUCUCCAGAAAAGCCAUUUUUUAUUAAGCAGACUUAAAACAGUUGAUUUGAAAAGGAAAUGCCACAUUUGGAUUGACUUCAGAUUUUAAAAUUUCACUUUUUUUAUUCACAAAAUUCAAAUUAAUCUUCAUCACUAAGUUUGAUCCAUACUAGUAUUUAAGUGUUUUUAAAGUGUUGUUAAUAUUAAGUCAUCCCCAUUUUUUAACAUUUGAUUUUUAGUCCUGUGUUUUUCAAGGACGUGGUGGAAAAGUUUGUUAAAGGCCUUCACUUUCCAAACCUCAGUGAGUGUUUAUGUGUGAGUGCAGGCGUGUGUGCAAAAUACAGACUUAACACAUAAAAGAAGCCAGUAUGCUCAGCUCCAAGAUUGGUCAUAUGAAGAUCCUAUUUUCCUUAUGCACUCUUGGAUAAAAUGUUAUCUUCCCUGAAUAAAAAAGAAAAAUGGUAGAUUAUUCAGGUUUUUCUGCUGUUGUGUUUCAUGAAAAUCUGAGCCAUAUUAAAAAAAAAGUAUAUAGGUAAACAGAUACCAGUAUUUGUGUUAAAAUCCUAUUAAGGACUGCAGUGUCUUGCUUCUAGAAUUCUGUAUAUCCUGCUUCUAGAAUUCUCUGUAAUUUGGUGCAUUGCUUAAAAAUAAUGUGGUAUUUCAGAUUAGAAUCAGGGAUUCCCAGUACCUACCAGUCCUGAAUUUAAGGUCACUGUGACAGUAACAUGACGCUAUAUAGGAGACUAGCUGAAGGCUUUAUAUUUAUCAUCCUUGAGCUUAUAACUGAUCAGGUGAUCUGGCUCUAAGAUAACUAGCUGUCUUUAGCUGAAUUUCACGUGAUUAGUUUAGCUUGGUGUAGACUAUUCCCCAGAAGAUUAUUAAUGAUUUGAAAUAUUACCUCAUUUUAUAUCAAUUUUUGUGUUGCCUUACAUUUAAAUCUGCAAAGCAGAUCAAAGCAAUGAUAGGGCUUCUAUCUGCCCUAGAGAUUCUGUCUAGGGCAGCGUAUUUCAGUCUAUAAAUGUAUAGUGUAGAAGCCUUGAAGAAAGAAGUUUGAUGAACUAUUCCAGCAGCUGAAUGCUUGCAUCGGUUCUCAGUAUGUAAUUUAUGUGAUCUCGUUUACCAAUAGGUAUUUGGAAGAAAUGUUUAAUAAUAGCAGACCCAAAUUGAAACUUCAUCAUGACGUGGUAUUGAAAAUUAACUUUAGUCUUAUCUUUAUUAAAGUUAUAUGAUUUUUUUUGUCUUAAAAAAACUACAGAAUAUACAAUUGCUUUCUCUGUAGUAUGGGCUUUCAGUAUUACAGUAGGAAUGACCAAAAAUUCCCCAUACUGGAAUUUGUCUUUGGGAAGUAUUUUAAAAGUAAUUAACUUUUCUUUUUCUUUUCAGAAAGUACAGUAACAUCUUGAUCAACCUGUUAAUAAGGAAGGGAUAUAAUUAAAUAGAUUCAUCUCAUACAUUAUCAACCAAAUCUAGGUAAUUAGCUAGAAGUCAACUGUUUAUUGAAAAGGUUAAGUCUAGUCUUGUCCCUAACGUUGAUAAUUGAUGUUUUCCAUUCAUUUUACAACCGCUGAAUGUUUUAAGUUUCAGAAGUUAGAAAUACAAAAUAUUAAGUCAUCAUUAUCCUCAGAAUUUAGAGAGGAUUCCAAGAGGCAAUAAUAGAUUGAUAAAUGGUGAUGGUGGUGUUCAGUCGCCAAGUCAUGUCCGACUCUUUGCGACCCCAUGGACUGCAGCACACCAGGCUCUUCUGUCCUCUGCUAUCUCCAGGAGUUUGCUCAAAUUCAUGUCUGUUGAGUCGGUGAUGCUGUCUAACUACCUCAUCCUCUGUCACCUCCUUCUGCUUUUGCCUUCAGUCUUUCCCACCAUCAGGGUCCUUUCCAGUGAGUUGGCUGGUUUGCCUCAAGUCGCCAAAGUAUUUGGAGCUUCAGCAUCAGACCUUCCAGUGAAUACUCAGGGUUGAUUUUACUAUUUAUAAAUAGUAAUAAUCAAACCAAAUCUUCCAGAAAAAACACCUUUGAAAGUUUGAAAGGUAUUCUUUCCUGGUUAUGCAAUGCUCAGCUUAUAAUUGGAAUACAUGAACAAUGUAUGAUUUAGAUUUCUCCUAGAGAGAAAAGCUUGUGAAAUGUAUAUAUCAUGAAUUUUUAAACUGAAGUUUAGUAUCCACUGGAUACGAUCAGAGUAACUUGAUUUUAAGAAUUUUCAUCAUACAGUUCAAACUUUAAAACAUAGAGAUGGAGUGACCGUAUGAAUCUGACAGAACAAAUGUGAAGGUAGGUCUCCUUACGUUUUUAUCUCUUUUUCCCCUUACUGACAACUAAGCCUUUAGGUGAGAAAUUCCUCGUCAGGACUGAAAUAAUGAGCAGUUCUUUGAAAUAUUUCUUACCUCCCUAAAGAUAGACAUACACAUGUUGCUUUGUUCAAAUGGAAUGGAUUUACUAAAAAUAACUUUUCUCCAUUGCCUGUAACUCAUAAGACCCUUCAUGAGGUCAGGCUUUUUCAAACUCCGUUAUGUCUUAACAAAACUGCUUAAUUUAGUCUCUGAUAAUACACUCUUAUUCUUUUUCCCUUAUGAACAUUUUCUUUUUAAGUUGUAAGACCUACAAUUGCUAGCCAGAACUUUUUAGUAAGAGAGAACUGAGGUUAACACACUGAACUGGUUGUAAUUUCAGUCAGAGGCAAACCUGACAGAAGAGCUAACGUUGAAUAUUUCCAACUGGCUAUCGUCAUCUUAAAUUUAAACUUAUUAACCCUGUAAGGGGCUUCCCUAAUGGCGCUGUGGUAAAGAAUCCGCCUGACAAUGCGGGAGAGGUGGAUUCGAUUCCUGGAUUGGAAAGAUCUGGAGAAGGAAACGACAACCCUCUCCAGUAUCUUUGCCUGGUGGGCUACAAUCCUUGGGGUCACAGAAGAGCUGGACACAACUUAGUGACUAAACCGAAACAAAGUAACCCUAUAAAGUAAGGAAAAAUGUGAAAACAGACGUUGUGGUCCAAGGCCGCCACCUGACUAGAAGUGACCAGUCAAGUUGAACCCAGGUUGGUCUGGUACCAGAGCUCACAUUUUAACCACCUCUGUGUGUAUUGCUUCCUGGCUUUUACUCACUAUAUGCAAUCUUCGUACAAUUAUGUACCCAUUAAUUGUUAUUGGGCUUCUUUGAAAUGUUGAAUAAUAGGGAGUGUUAGUUUUCCCAGCCCAGAACUAUGGGUGGGGUUGAAGACUAUUUUCAUAGAAACAGCAGUGUAAGAAUUAUUUUGUGUUGUGAUAGUAAGAUUAAUGAUAGCCUUGGAAUAACUGAGAAACUUCUCUUCUGUAAAUAUUGCUUAGUGUAGCCUUCAUCAAUUGAACCUUCUUAAACCUAUUUACUGUUAACUUUUUUUUUGUACUUGUGGCUUUUGUCAUAAGUUUACUAAACAUUCUGUGAUAGGAGAUUUCUUUUUACCAGUUUUAGAACAUUUUCUAGUGAAUGUUUCAGGAUUUAAGUUUCUUUGAAUAAAAUGGAGCCAGACUGUGGUAUUUUAUCUGUAAUCACUGUGAUUUUACAUGGAACUCAAUUUUAUCAUCUUAACUUUCUUUCCAGAUUGGAGUUCUUACUCUUUGAAGGUAAAAGCCACUUUAUUUUUGUGAACACUUCUUAACUGCCCUGUUUUGUACCUUCCCUGGCUUUCUUUUAUGUCUUUGAAGUGGCUGCUGGAAGGUCAUGAAGUAUGCUGGGUGUAUAUAUAACCAUGGCUUUGUGUAAUAUUGAUUAUCCUUUUUUCCCUAACAUCAUUCUGAUUACCUGCAGUUGUUAUUUUUCUGUUUGUGUGUGUGUGUUUUAGACAAAAGUUGUUGUUUCCGUUUUACUUUGUAACUCAUAAUUUGCUCAGGCUAGGUGAUUAAAGAUAGAGGAGCCAGAAUUUACUGCCUUAUUGUUUUCCACGUACCUUGAUUCCCAGAGAAAGAAGCUUGUGUGUAGUGUGCAUAAGCAAAGUUGAAUGGCAUUCUGAUUGCCUGUUGUCUCUGGGGAAAUAGCUUCACUAUUAGGAACAGCCCAUGUAUGUAUAUAUGGCUGGUGAAUAAACACUUCUGCAGUAGCAGAGCUGGUACUUACGGCGUGGAAGGUGUUAAUCAAAGUCACUCUGGCUCUAGUUGUACUUAGCACCAGGACCAAGUUCAGAAUUCCGAAUGGACAUCUGACAAGCCAAAGUGCCCACAGUUGCUUUGGGGUUUCAUCCAGCUGUGUUCUGCCCACGAGAUUCAUAAUUACAGAUUAUUUUAAUUGCUGCUCAGUCAAAACCAGUGUUGCUAAUGACAGCAGUGAUCUAAAGGCCAUUUCAGUUGCCCUUUUCUCCCCUUAUCGUUAUUCUUGAUCAUCUUGUUAAUUUUGCUGCAGUUUGAGAAACUUUCAGAACUUUUCUGUCUUGUUGGCUCUGAUCCACUAUGCGUGUUAUUUCCUUGUUCCUUGUAAUGCCCUCUUCCUUUGUCUUUUGUCCCUUUUUAGGGACUUUAACCACUGUUAGGGCCACUGGAUUUUAUAUCUCUUAAUUUCACUCGCAGCCUGUAAUCUCAUAUGUAUCUCCAGAUCACAUGAAACUUGAUAAUGCUAAAAAACAGUUGCCAGUCACUUAACAAACAUCUAGUGAGGACGUGGGUUCCUGGCACUCAGCUGGUACUGGGGAUAACGAGAGGCAGCAUCUGGCAAAGGGAACAAAAUCUUUCAUAGUGAGUGGGAGUUGCUCAGUCAUGUCCAGCUCUUUGCGACCCCAUGCACUGUAAAGCCUGCCAGGCUCCUCUGUCCAUGGAAUUCUCCAGACAAAAAUACUGGAGUGGGUUGCCAUUUCCUUCUUACAUAACCAUGAAAGAAUUAACUUGUUUGGGGAGCACAUUUUGAUCUUCCGGGUUGCAGUCUUAAUAGUUGUUCUGUUGGAUUUUCUGUUGAUUAAGUCAUACUGAUUCUUCUAUGAGGUCUUCUGCUUACUUUCUCUAUUAUCCUAGGAUUGUAGUUCUUACUCUUGCAGGAUUAAAUGUAGAAGACAUUUAUCAGACUAGCCAUGGGAACUAAUGAUUGUACUUGACUACGUUAAUUGAUUGGAAAUUUUGUGUUAAAAGAUUGUGGGAAUUCAGCAAUACUUUUUAAGUGCAUUAUUUAAUUACAAUAGCAUUUACACUCAGAUUUAGACUAUACUUUUAGAGAGCCACCUUUAUGCUAAAUAAUGUUCUAAAGAAUAAAAGUAUACAGUGGGCACAAGGCAGUCUUCUCCCAUUAUGGAGCUAAUCUCUUAACGGAGGAAAUUCACAUUUAGUUGGCUUGAUGUUUCCCUAAAUCUAAGACUCACAGGUUUGGAGGCAUUGCUGUGUGUCUAAGAAGUCAGUUUCUAGUUUGUUACAACUCUCUUCCUAAUUUUCUUCAUGUCUCUCACUUCUGUGUCCUAUACAAUUGCCGUAAUAAUUACCACACAAAUACCUACAUUCCCAUUACAUCAUGGUGUCAAGUCUAAAUUCUUGACAUUUGAGACCUUUUAUAUGGUUCCCAGGCAUCUUAAUCUUUCCUUUCAAACCUUUUAUUCCUUUCCCAUUCUGACACUGAUUCUGCUCAAGCCUUUACUGUUAACCUUAGGAAAGUUACACUGCCUUUGUCCACCUUGCUGUAACUCACUACUACUUAGCAAUUACUUUGGAGCUUACUCCAUUUUCUAGAGAGACAUGGAUUGGAAUGUUAUAUAUCAUUCAUAAAAAUAACAGGGAUAUAUGGUUGAACUUUGAAGAUUGCCAUGUAUAAUGAUUUAUAGAUUUCAACCAGUGGCCCACUUCAAGGAAUACUUGGAGUCACUUAAGUGGCAAUUUGACAACGAAGCUGUACUGAAACUUACUAUCUAGAUGCAGUGGGUAACAAUCUGUAAGUAGAAAAUGCAGAAGGCUUAGAUUUAGUCAUAUGAAUUUAGGAGUUUGCAUCGGGUUUUGAGGCUGAACCAAGUGACUCAAAGGGAAUUUAAAAUUCUCUGCUCUUGACUAUUAAAGAGCAAUCUUUUGCUUUAAAGUUUUCAGAAUUCCACUUCUUGAAAGCACACAGACUAACCAGUAGAAAAACAGCCUAGUUGGCCAGUCUCGGCCUAAAAGUUGAACAGGUGGAUGCGUAGAUUUUUCACAUGCUCUUGUAUUUUUUGAAAACAAAGGUACUAUUGUAUUAUUGCAGUACAUGUCCGUAUUGCAGUAGUCAUCCAUACUUGUGAGACUGUCUAAAUCUGCACUUCAGUCAUGGUGAUAGCCUCCCUUAGACAAAGUGUCAGACCUGCCUCCUAUGUUGGAUGCUCUGUCUCUUCCUGGGGAAAUUAAAGUACAAAAAGACUUGUUGAUAUUUUGAAUUUUUGACUUGAUAUUCCAACACCUCUCAUACUGGUCAAGCAGUAUCUCCUAUUCAUUGAGUUCCUACUGUGCACCAGUUACAUGCAGCUCGGUACUUUAUAUCAUCUUUAACAUUCACAGGAACCCCCAUGUUAGGCACUAGGAUCCCUGUUGCCAGUGGGAAAACUGAGGCCCAGAGAGAUUGAAUGACAUAGCCAGGGUUGUACAGCUAGUUUGUAAUAAAGCAAGUAUUAGUGCUAAAAACUUAUUUUCACUUUUUAUCUUCCUGUAGAAAUUUAUUUUGCUUUUUAGAGCGAGAGGCAAAGCAUUUUCUUCAGGUUAGAUUUAUUGUGGGGAGUUUUGAAUUACAAGCUAAAAACAGAUGGUGUAUUCUACAAUAUAAGGUUUAAAUUUGUGAAAUUUUAUUUGCUGUUGUAUGCUUCUGUUUCCCUGUCCUUAGCAUCACUGAAUAUUUUCUACAUUUUGUGAUUGAUACUUGUUUGCUUCUUUAUAUACAAAAUCUGUAAUUUUGUAGAGGAAUGGGAUAAAAGAGGUUAAGUUGGUUUUGUACUUCCAAGUAGAGUCUAACCACCUUGAUUAUCCCCACAGCAAACCUGAAAAGUCAGUUCACCACUUUUAACAUAUACGUAACACUGUGUGUGCAGAAAAAUAUAUCGUAUACUGCCUUCCAUCUCCUAUUAUUAAUAGUAAUAAUUGAUGCCAGGCAGGAAGAGUGCUACCUCAUAUUUGGAUCAGCUACUUCUACCUAAAGAACAUUUGAAAAAAUUUGCCUGAAGCUGUUCUGAAAGUUAAGUAUCAUUAGAUACAUUGGCAAAGCCUGGGCUCAAAUUCCAGCCUUUCACAGAGCCCAUCAGGGAGAUCCUUGCUUUUUGCCUUGCAAAAAUAAAAAAUAAUAGCCAUUGAGGAAGUAAAAUUUGAGUAAAUAUGUACUCUGUUUAAUGCCUCUGGCUAGCAUUUGUUAAGUGCUUCCUGUGUGUCAGCUGCUGCUGAAAAAGUGCUUUUCAGGCGUUCUCUUAAUCUACGCACCUUCGCAUCUACAGAUGAGGAAAUGGAGAGGCAAGGACAUUUGUAGUGGAAUCAUGAUUCAUUCAAAUACUAAAGAUCUGGUCUGUUCAGAAAUAGAGCCGUGGAUCUCACUAAACUAGAAGAGAAAAAAAUAGAGCUCCAGAGUAAAGUAGAGAAAGGUUUUUAUUUUUAAUUUCGGUGUUUUCUCUCUCCCUUUCCUCCCUGCAGCGUGCCCCUACCACAUGUUCCGUAGAUUCCCCCCUCUAAGUUCUGCUAUUUUUCCCCCUUUUCAAAAUGUUUCAGCAUCCUCAGGAGCAGUAAAUUGGAAGUUUAUUCAUAAAUGUAGCAAUUGUAUCAGAGGCUUCAAAAUAAUUGUACUUUAUUGACCUAUGUUUUGUCUUGAAAUUUUUCAUUUUGAACUGAAAUGGGGAGGGCUGUUAAAGUGUUUUCUCUGCCUGUUUAUGAUACGUUUUAGAUCGCUCACAUUUUUUCCCUGGAUAUUUAUCAGGAGAUGGUGUAGAGGUUUGGUAAGUAAUGCAGUUUGAUUUUGUAUGUCUCGAGGGUUUCUCAUUAAGUCACAUAUUUGAGUUUUCUUUAUUCUGACCUUUUUUCCCCUGGUGAUUCUAUUUGCAAUAUUGACUGAAAAUCCUUACAUUAAUGCUAAUUUUGAUCUUUUUUUUCACUAGCAUGUUUUGGAGCCCUCAGACUUGAAGAAGGACGUAGGUAAAAAGUAUAAUAUGAAACAUUUUCUGACAUUAGGGUUAUGAAGUCCUUUCCUUUAGUUGCCUACUUGCUGUGUUCAGUUUGAAAAUUAGAACAAUUUAAAUGGUUUGGUUUUGCCCAAACAAUUAUGGAUAUUUCAGUUCUCUUAUAUUUCUAAACAUAACAUCAAUUAUCUAAUCCUUCACAUAAAAAGAAAGAUGGUUUCAUAUUACAUUAGGAAGUACUUAGAACUUUAAAACAUUUUCCCUGUGUAAGAUUUUAUGCAGUGCUUGAGUUACUUAAUUAUAAAGUAGGUAACAAAUAUUCAUCUAAAGCACAUUUUAGAUUUAUCAGAAUCGAGCUUUACUGCUGCUGUGUCUGAAAUGCUUUCCAACUUCCCCAGAGUCCUCACUGAAUAUAAACUCCAUAUUGUGUCUCUCAUAUAUCUGACCCUGGUGUGCCAAGGCGAACCCUGCAUGUUUUUGUAAAGUUCUUUUCUGUGACUAGACUUGAUAAAAGACAAAGCCUAGGAAGUGCCAUAUUCCUUUGUCUGUUCAUGAAGUUGUUUUAAAACAUUCUUUAAUUUAGAAACAUAAAUGCCACACUUUUAAAAAUUUUAGUGACACCAAAAAAUUUAACACAUUUUCCUGUCAAACAAGUGUUCUUUGAAAACUAAAUGUGUGCAUUAUCUUUUUUUACUUAAAGUUACUUGAUGUUUGCUUAAACUCCAUUUGCUUGGAGUAGAACUUUCUAAUGAAUGAAAAUGACUAGGUUAGUCUGCCAAGUAAGUUGAGAACAUGAGUUUCUGUGUAUGAAUAAUAUAUAUUCUCUCUUUUCCUAUUUUGUUUUGAUAAUCAUAUCUCUGAGAACAAAGCUCUGAUGGCAGUCUUUUUAAAAGAUACAGAAAAAAAUCUUGUUUUUUUUGGCCAUGCCAUGAAGCUUCCAGUAUCUCAGUUCCCCAACCAGGGAUUGAACCCAGAUUAUGGCAGUGAAAACCCAGAAUCUUAACCACUAGGCUACCAGGGAACUCCCAAGAUUAUGUUUUUUUUUUUGUAAGACUUCACCAUCAUCUAUAAAAUAGCACAGUUUAACUGCUUCCUCAGUUUAAAAUUCCACAGACUAUAACAGUGAUAGAGAUGAUUUCUUCUUAUCCAAGAAUAUAUUUUUCUUUAAGUUCCACAUUUUAUAUAUUUUUUAUAGUAGCCUAAUUUAGCAAGAUCAAAUUAAGAAUUUCACCCAGGGUAUCAGGUAGAACCAUUAGACUGUUGGAGAAUUUACUUGGAAAAAGAAAAACUAGAGGUAAAGAGAAGGUGCUGAUUGAUAGCAAUCUGAAAUAAAGAUUGUAAAGCAUCUUUGGAAUUAGCUUGUUGUAAGUAGGAAAUUCAUCUGGUAUAUAAAAAUAAGUGUGGCUGUUGACAUUUGGAAAUGUUAUGUUGACUUACUUUUAAGAGUGGCACUCCAGGUUACUUCACAGUCGUUGGCAAAAGUUCAUUCAAAUCCAGGUUUUCUCUUAGAGAAACGUGGAGUCAGAGUCCCCACACUUAUGAGUAAAGCGUGCAUUCACUUUGUCCCUGACAGUCUGCCAGUGACCAUGGUUUCUAAGGUUCCUUGUUGGAACCAGAGACAAGAAGAAAGGGGAGAGGGUGCCAAUCAGAUCAGUUGCGACCUUUUAAAUUUGACCCUUUGGGUAAUGUACAUGGAAAGUAGUAUUUACUCUUUUGAGUAGUAGUAGCGAAAGUGUUAGUCAGUUGUGUCUGACUCUGAGACCCCAUGGACUGUAACCUGCCAGGCUCCUCUGUCCAUGGAAUUCUCAAGGCAAGAAUACUGGAGUGGGUAGUUGUUCCCUUCUCCAGGGGAUCUUCCCAACCCAGGGAUCACACCCAGGUCUCCUGCAUUGCAGGCGGAUUCUUUUCCGUCUGAGCUACCAGGGAAGCUAUGCCUCUAGUUUCAACACUGAUGUUUUUUUCCCUGAAAUUUCCAGGAGCUUAGCUUGAUGUCUUUUUCAAAGGGUAGAGGAUGGGGUGGGCAAAGCCCACAAAUGUUGGGAGAAGAGAAAUAUGCAGGGAAAUGUUUUCUUGAAAAUAGAAAGCUGCAGGAAAUGGAGUAGGGUCAGCAUCAGGAAGGCAGGAGAUAUUAAGUAAUUUGUGGUCUGAUUUGCUUCCAGUGUGGUUUACUCACAGCUAACAUGAAAUGAGUAUUUCAUUCCUCAAGUAUGCACUUGGGAAAAAAUGGGAAGCCAGGCUGGAGACACAGGUUUGCAGCAGAUGCUCUGUAUCCAGGUCGUAACAGCUUUGAUGGCAUUCAGUCCAAGAGCAACAACAACUCCAAAGGAAAAAUCUGUAAACAUUCCUGAAUCUGAUCACCUUCACCAUCAUCAGCCAGUGGAUAGGAUAAGACUUGUUGAAGGGCCCUUUGAUGACUUUUGAUUAUCAGGAAAUUUUGUAUAAAAAAGUUGAAAUUACGUUCAAGAAUUCUUUUUCUGGUUCCCUUUUUUUUUGUUUGUUUGCUGCGCUGGGGUGUAGUUGGGGCACUCUUGGUUGCCUCACAGCUUGUGGGAUCCAGUUCCCAGAACAGGGAUCAAACCUGCAUCCCCUACAUUGGAAGGUGGGUUCUUAACUGCUGGGUCACCAGGGAAGUUCCCUGGUAUCUUACUCCCUUGAUAUUAUUUCACAUUGCACAGCUAAAAUAAUCAUAACACCUUGUUAACUUUUAAAAUGAAUGUUCCUGAGCUAAGACGACAGGAAUCUCCAUUUUGUGGACAUAGUUUACACUGGACCCUUUGUUUACUGUUACAUCCAGGGCAUCCCGGAUGGGGAGAGCUUUCCACGUCACAGCUGGUGGCCAGUGUUAGCCAGGCCUAGUCUACAGGUUCAGUUUUGCCCUUGGCUUUGUCCCUGACUGGAGAACCAAAUUGCGAGAACUAAGUGAAAGUGUUGGGAAAAGCUUGAUUCAAAAUAUAUAUGAAUCAAGUGUACCAUUUUUGAAAGACAGGUUAUUGAGCCCACCUCAGUCAGGGACACUGGAUAUUUGGUUUAAAUAAAAUAAGAAUGUUACUCAUUUUAUGUGUUUUAAAUUGCUAAAGAACCUUGUAAGCACUUAAAAGUGUAGCUGGAUUUGGUGUAGGCCAGAAAAAUAUGGCUGUUACGAUUAGAGUAUGACUCGUGUAUUGGAGAGGGCAAUGGCAACCCACUCCAGUACUUUUGCCUGGAGAAUCCCAUGGACGGAAGAGCCUGGUAGGCUAUAGUCCAUGAGAUGGCACAGAGUCGGACACGACUGAGCGACUUAGCAGCACCAGCAGCAGCAUGUGAUUCUUGAUUAUUACUUACACUAUCAUAGAAACGCAAACAUGUAUGUGGGUUGGAUAGCCAGUGUCCUUGGUAUUUACUUCAAAUGAGUGAUGAAAAUACCUGUGAAAACUUUGUGCUGGGACCUCCAUUUUUUAUGUCCAGUGGUCACCUUAUAAACCAGGCAUGAAGAGAAAUAAAAUAAUUCAGGCAUGAAGAGAAACAAAAUAAUUAACUCUUUGUAUCUUGAGGUUUAUUCUCUUCAGCUGGUCUAAUGGAAUGGGUAUAAUGAUAAUCAUUUCUCAGUUUAUCCCUACCCUUUCUCUUUUUAAAUCUAUAGGAGCAGUUGUGAUGUCAGUAAAGCUGUGGUUAAGUAUAUAUGUUAGAGGACUUAAAAUACAAACAAUAGAAGUGUUUUGUAGUAUAGUUGUUACCACUGACUUAAAAGGUAAGAUUUACCUUGAAAAUUCAUAAAGUAAGACGAGUAGUCAGCUGCAAGAUAUUAAUACAGGCCUUGAAACUUAAUAAUUGUUGGCUGAUACAAGAACAAAAUACUGUAAUACAAACUAGAAUGUCUUCAAGAACAGAAGUCUGCUCUUGCCAGCUCGUGGCUCUUAGGUUAACAAAUCUAAUCCAGGAUGCAUCUUAACCCUGCAGCAAAUAGUAUUUUAUUUUUGCCUUAUUUCCAGAUACCAGCUUAACACAAGUGCUCUACCCUAUUGCCUGGCUUUGAGCAGUGUUCUGCUCUGAAAAGAAAGUUAUAUGUACAUUUUAUCUUCCGUUUGAAUACUACUUCUUAACUGCAAACUAAUAAGCAUUGAACCCAGUAUUCACACAGCCUGCUCUGUUUUAUAAAAUUUCUCAGCUCUUUUCAGAUCGUUCUAAAUGGUGAUUCCUUUUCUUUUUAUUAAACUCAUCUUUGCUUUUUCUUCAUAAAGUUAAGGGUAGGUAACAUGAGUCCCUCUUGCCCUUUACUAUUAGAAUCUGGCAUCAGGAGAACUGUUGCUAUGUAUGAUUUUCUUCCAAAACUUCCCUUUUCUGGGAUGAAAGUUGUAUUGAUUCCAGUGUUUGUUAUUUAGUUGAGCAGUAUCAGUAAAUUCACUGGCUCACCUUCCUGUUUAGUGAAUACCUAACCAUAUUAUUUUAUAUCCAUGUGUUGAAUGCCAAUCCUAAAACAGAUUGCAGGGAGGAAAGAGGGUACUUGGACCAUACUUUUUUUUUUUUUUGACCAUACUUUGAAUAAAAGACAUUUUGAGGGUUGUUCCCCCACCCCCCGCCCUUAAAAACAAAAGCCAACUCCUUGGUACCGGAUGUAUUCAUUGUACUUUUUGAAAAAUUGCUCUGGUCAUUAUGUUCAUUUUUCUUGAAUUAGUAUUCUGCCCUGGUCCCUAAAGAUAGUUUUAUAUGCUAACUUUUGUUUUGCCUUUCUAGCUGCUAAAAUAGGUAAUGGUUAUUACAAACGGCACGUUUUUAAAUGGUCUCCAGUGUGGAUUGUUCAGCCAGUGAUGGAGUGAGUACAUUGAGGAAGAAGGUGUCAUUCGGAAUCCAGAACCAUUCCACAAGGAUAACUACCUGAUACAUGAUUUCGUGACUGAUGCUGAAAUGGAAGCCAACCAUGCAGAAAUUUGGGGGAAAAUGAAUCUGAAGAAUGCACGGGGAAGUAGGAAUUCAUUUCUAGCGUUCCCAAACCUGCUUUGUCACGUCAGCUUCACUGCAGUCAGAGGAAAAGAACUGAGUUCAUGGAAAUUACCAACUAAACCUUACGUCUGUCUGUAAUGUUUUUAGGAAAUGUACUGAAAGGUAAGUGAGAUAUCUGGUUUGAAGAAAGACUUUAUUAGGUAUUUUUAAACCAGCUACGAACAUGUUAGUAGAAGUGGAUGGCUUCUUUAUUCUGAGCGUCAGGAAUCUUGCCCUCGUUUGGUGUGGUUCUCAGUGGUUGUGGAGACGGUGGAGUUGUUCCAGCCAGCGUGAAGCUUUUCCUCUACUUCCUGGCAGUCACGCUGGAACUGGCACUGAAGUGUAGCAUGCCAGUUUUUGUUGCUUUGUCCUCAACUCCUCUCAAAAAAAAUAUUUUCAGUUGAAUUUUAAUUUUACCCCUUAAACUAUAUGGAAAAUUUUUCAAAUGCUUCUAAGUUCCUACCAGAACUAUAUUUGCAUUAUAUAUAGUCAAGAAUAAAAUAAUGGGUUUUAUAGGUCUCUGUUAACCUUACCUACAUUGAUUUUUAUAGAUAAUUUUAAAUUUACUGAGGUUACAUUGUUCCACAUUUAGUAAAUCUCUGUGUAAUAGGCCUUGUGCCAGACCCGGAGUAAAACAAUGGAAUAGCACACAGUUCAUGUACUCAAUAAAUUUUUUAUUGAUAAAAUAGUUAGAAUUUUAGUUUUGGGAAUCCGAAUCUAAUAAAAUUAGACUAAUUCCAUUUCCCAAUCAAAAAUCCUCUGUAGCUUGCUAUUUAAAUAUGACAAAUUGUAUUUGAGAGAUCCAGUGCUUGUGUUUGAGAGAGACAUUUACUAAAUACUUCCUAUGUUCCAGGUACUGUUCUAAGCUCUUCACAUAUAUGUUUUUUAAUCAUUACAACUGUCCUGUAAGAUGGGUGCUAUUACUAAAACUGGUUUUAAGUCAUUAAGGCAGAAAAGCUAACUACCUUAUUCAGCUUUGUACAGCUAUAAUCUAAGACCAGUAUGUGAACCCAGACAGGCUAAUUGUGCCUGGACUCUCAAUUUGGGCGUGAUAUUUAUAUGCAGUACCUGGCUAGGAGUACCUGCGAGAUAUUCCAGAUUCUGAAUAAAACUUGGGUAGUUUUAAAAGGGAAAGUUUCAGUAGCAUAGGAAGACCAUAGAUAAUAGUUACCAAACUUUUCAGAGAGCCAAAAAUUCCCUUUUUUUAACUCUCGGCUCACGCCAUUUAGCGUGAUGACUUCACCGCUGCAUUUUCCCCUUCCUGCCACUCCCUGCAGUAGUGCGCAUGCGCACACAGCUUCUGGGGUUACGUCCAAUCCUCUUUCUUUUGGGAAUGUGGACAUUUUCUUUAGCUGCUAAAUCGUGAGAAGAUACGACUGCUGAGAUUUUUCCAUAGGAUUCUUUUAAAAAGUAGAUUAGGCUCUGUACAUAGUAAAGAAAAACUUGUGAGGACUCCAGGUAGGUAACUUACUUCCUAUUGUAUGUAUAGUUUCUUUGAAGUCUCUGCACCUCUAUCCUGUUUUAUAUUUCUGUAAAUCUGAUUUGACCUUUAAUAAACUAUUUUCUGAAGUGAGUGGGUUUUUUUGGUCUCAUUUCCCAUUUGGAGGUUUAUCUCCUUUGGUCACUUUUAUGUUAUUGCCACCCUUUUCAAAAUUGGUGGUUUACUGAAAGUAGGAGUGCCUAAUGUAUACUGAGUAUUGCAGGUUUGAAAAGUAGAUAUGCCAAGGCUUUGCUCUUAGCUCAAUAAAGCUGCCACUCAGUACUAAGACUUUGCAAAUUUUCAAAGGAAAAACCAAAUGUUAUAAAAAUCACUGUCAGUGGUGGUUGAUUGUGUAUCCCAAGUAAUUGUGACAAAAAUCUGCCCUGGUGAAAUCAAGUUAACUGUCCCAUAAUAGUUAAUGAUGAACUGGAGAAACAAUUUUGACUGUAUUUCUUCUGAAUCAGUGCUUCUCAAGCUUGAAUGCAGACGAGGAUCACCUGGGGAUCUUGUUAAAAUGCAGAUUCUGAUUCAGCCUGAGAACCUACAGUUCUUGUUUUUUUUAAUAACGUAUUGAAAUACAAUUGACAUAAAAUUAUAUCCUUAAAAGUGUACGAUCCAGUGGGUUUUGUUUGUUGUUUCUAGCAUAACAGUUGUGCAUCUAUCACCACUGUCUUUCAUUCAGGACAUUUUUCAUCAUGCCAAAAAAGAAACCCUGUGUCCAUUCACAAUUACUCCCAUUCAUCACCUCCACCACUACCCCAAGUCUUCAGCAACCACUAAUCUGCUUUCUGUCUCUAUGGACGUGCCUUUUAUGGAUAUUUCAUAUAAAUGGAUUCAUACAUUAUGUGGAAUUCUGUAACUGGCUUCUUAGAAUAUUUUUAGGCUUCAUUCAUGUUGUAAAAUAUCAAGUCCUUAAUUUCUUUUUAUGGCCAAAUAAUAUUCCAUUGUAUGGACAUGCCACAUUUUGUUUAUGUAUUCAUCAGUUGAUGGAACGUUUGGGUCAUUUAUACCUUAUAUACCUUUUGGCUUAUGAAUAAUGCUGUGAACAUUUUGUGUGCAAAAUUUUGUGGACACGUUUUCAUCUCGGUUAAGACGGGUCUUCAUUUCUGUUAAAAUAACUAGGAGUGGAAUUUCUGGGUCACGAUAGCUUUUUAAGAAAUUAGAGCAACAUGGCGACACCUAGCCUUAUAAAUUUUCAAGUACACAGUACAGUAUUAACUGUGGGCACACUGUUGUACAGUAGAUUUUGGUCAUAAGGUCAUAUGUGAUUAAGUUCCACGUUUUGAGGGACUUCAAAACUUUCUAAAGUGGUUGUACCAUUUGAGAGUCUACAUUUCUGAUAAGCUCCCAGGUGAUGAUGGGUAACAGGCUCUAGAUUAUGUUUGGACACCUACAAAAUAAACAGGAUAUGAGCUUUAACUUGAUUCAACUGGCAGUGUCCAAUCAGCAGCAAACAAGGUGUUUUGCUUUCUCAAGGUCAUAGUGCCUCAUUUAACACUAGUCUUACUGUGCCUGAGCUUUUUCAUCUAGUCUUUAAACUCUUCAUGUAACGAUGUCUAAAGGAGAAGAGAAUAUUCAUUUUGAGUUGAAAGAGGCAGCUGUAAGUUGAGAAUGCUUAUGUAAAUAGAAUGCUAAUAGCGAUCAUUCUUUGGUAGUGUUCUAUAAAAAUUCUGGGUGACUUUUCAAUAUGCUGAUAAUAUUUAGCAGGGAAUAGAUGAAUGAACAUCAGAAUGAGAGGAUGUGGACAUUUUCUUCCAGUUGAAUUAAAACAUUUUGAUCAUUUCUAGGUGUCUUCCGAGAAUGAAGGGCAUAGUGGUGGAAGUAUCUGAGUAAAUGAUAUAAUACACCAGUGAACAGUAGGAUAGACUAAGAGAGAGCAGGCACAUAGGAAACUCGGGAGACUGGGACGCCUAGGCUCGAGUCUUUCAUCAUCCAACUAUGGCCUAAUUGUGGGAAACUUGGGUUCUGAGCUUUGGUUCAUAGUUUGGUGGAGAGGACUGCUGCUGCUGCUGCUGCUAAGUCGCUUAAGUCAUGUCCGACUCUCUGCGACCCCA
ensembl:lncRNA